rnacentral:misc_RNA from 1 species
AGGUACGUACAACUUGUUCAACAUGUGCACACACUGUAAACUACGGUAUAAUGUUUAAUGGGUAACCUUUCUAUGAAGAAAGCAGACGAUAGAUUCAUUAAUUUGCCGAUGGUUACCGUUACAGUACACGAGGAUUCAAAUGGCGGGAAAAGCUGUCAUUGCCAGGUUCUUCAAAACGCUUAUAUGGAGGAGGAGGAUGCAUACAACUUUAUCUGUCACGUUAACAACUCUUUCAAUAAAUCGGUGGUGGGACUUCUGAUGCUGACACUUGGCCUGGCGAUAUCAGUUCUGUGUUUGACAUUUGGUGAGUAACACUCGAUCAAUCGGCGCCGUUCUCCAUCACCCUGCUAUAGGGGUUAGCUGUGCUUCUGUUGGCAUCAAGUCGACGUACGGAGAUUGUAGCAACAAUCCGACAAAUCGACCGAAGAAUAUGCUUAUAAUCGGGCUCAUUGUGUGGUAAAUACGAUAAAGGAAGGAGACAGAGGCAGAUACAAUGUUCAUGUAUACAGCCUUCUAAUGAAUAAAGUCAUACCUUGUGAAAGAAAUUGUGAAUCCUGGAGUUCCACAACUGCCCCUGUGAGCCCCUGCUUCCCCUGUUCCUGACUCUCAAUGGAGCAGCGCUCUUACUUAAAUGUGUUCUCCAGGGUACCCGGAUCAUGUUCAAGAUAGCGCCCCCUGACGGCGAGCGACACUGUCUCUACACUGUGACGGACAUGCUGACGUUGUUUCUGUUGUUCUGGGGAUUCACAGGUAAACUCCACGCACACAGGCAAACUCUCUGGUCGAGUUUAUCUCCACCCAUACAGGCAAACUCUCUGGUCGAGUUUAUCUCCACCCAUACAGGCAAACUCUCUGGUCGAGUUUAUCUCCACCCACACAGGUAAACUUUCUGGUCGAGCGUAUCUCCACCCAUACAGGUAAACUCUCUGGUCGAGUUUAUCUCCACCCAUACAGGUAAACUCUCUGGUUGAGCUUAUCUCCACCCACACAGGCAAACUCUCUGGUCGAGCUAUCUCCACCCACACAGGCAAACUCUCUGGUCGAGCUAUCUCCACCCACACAGGCAAACUCUCUGGUCGAGCUUAUCUCCACCCACACAGCCAGGUGCUGUGCUGGUGUAUAAUUUGUUAAAAAUCGCCCAAACGGAGGAUAAGGACGCAAUACAUUACUGCGAUUACCAUCUCCUCAGCCUCGCUAUCGCAGUGGUGACGGUGACGUUCGUGUUGAUAGUAUUCACUCUCUUCUGCUAUGCUGUUCUGUGGUUUAUCCAUGACAAAAUGGAGAACUCUGAAAAAUUCAAAGACUAUGUCAUAGAGUCGGAACUAGACAGGCGGAAAUCACCAGCGGGAAUUAUGGGAAGGUGAUGAAGGGACACCUGCUUCAUGUUACAGUUUACGUGUUGUGGUCUAACUGAGAUCGGUGUUACGUCACGACACCCGCUAAUUUACGGGGAGUUGACUUGCCAUUUUAUAGGAAUAGUUCGUUAUAUAUUUGUUACACAAUGUUUUACACAAGUUUCAGUGUCCUUUGUUUGUUGAACAAUUUGCGAGGUGCUACUUUACAGACAAGCGAUCUGAACAUAAUGUGCGCGCAACUUUUUUAUUUAAGGAUGUUUGGGGGGGGGGGGGGUGGUAUAUGAUUAAAAACAUUGAUCAACGUGUGAAGUAUACUUUUUGGGAGUUGAUUUUAAUCAACUCUCCUAUGCACUUACUCGGGCAAAGCGAAAGUGAAACAGUGUUUGGACCUAAGCACAAAUCAAUUAUACCGCUGACAACACUUAGUUCUUGAAAAUAAUCGAUAAAUUCGAUGUUUUGUAUUCUGAAGCAUUGUUUUUCAAGAAAACUUGUUUAUUAAUACCAGGAAAAUAGUUAGAUUUUAAAUUGUACAAACAGUUUAGAUAUUUUUUAAAGUCGUAUGUAUUCCUACGCUAGAGUUCAAUGUAGUCUCGUUCAACCAGACGCUUGGCUGGCUCCGUUAAUAUCCGACAAAACAGAGUCUCUCUUGCUUGUCGGAGAUAAACGGAGACGGCCGAGCGUUUGGUUGAACAAGACAAGAGUUCAAUCUUGCCUGGAUCCAUACAAUUUCUCAGAAAUAUUUCUAUUACUGAUACUACUUGCCAUGGAAAAUCACAUAUCAUUGAUUUUGAAUAAAUGAUAAUUGAUAAAAUCAACUCCCGUCAGUACUUCAGUACUUUGAUGUAUAUAUGCGAUAAAACCUGUAAAAACUU